UACGUAGGGGGCAAGCGUUGUCCGGAAUCAUUGGGCGUAAAGAGCGUGUAGGCGGCCUGGUAAGUCCGCUGUGAAAGUCCAGGGCUCAACCCUGGAAUGCCGGUGGAAACUGUCAGGCUCGAGUCCGGAAGAGGCGAGUGGAAUCCUGGUGUAGCGGUGAAAUGCGCAGAUAUCAGGAGGACACCGGUGGCGAAGGCGGGUCACUGGGACGGUAUUGACGCUGAGACGCGAAACGUGGGGAGCAAACAGG
rnacentral:rRNA from 1 species